AACGAACGCUGGCGGCAUGCCUAACACAUGCAAGUCGAACGAGACCUUCGGGUCUAGUGGCGCACGGGUGCGUAACGCGUGGGAACCUGCCCUUAGGUUCGGAAUAACUCCCCGAAAGGGGUGCUAAUACCGGAUAAUGUCUUCGGACCAAAGAUUUAUCGCCUUUGGAUGGGCCCGCGUUGGAUUAGCUAGUUGGCAGGGUAAAAGCCUACCAAGGCGACGAUCCAUAGCUGGUCUGAGAGGAUGAUCAGCCACACUGGGACUGAGACACGGCCCAGACUCCUACGGGAGGCAGCAGUGGGGAAUAUUGGACAAUGGGCGAAAGCCUGAUCCAGCAAUGCCGCGUGAGUGAUGAAGGCCUUAAGGUUGUAAAGCUCUUUUACCCGGGAUGAUAAUGACAGUACCGGGAGAAUAAGCUCCGGCUAACUCCGUG
rnacentral:rRNA from 1 species